rnacentral:rRNA from 1 species
CCUACGGGAGGCAGCAGUGGGGAAUAUUGGACAAUGGGGGCAACCCUGAUCCAGCCAUGCCGCGUGUGUGAAGAAGGCCCUCGGGUUGUAAAGCACUUUCAGUGAGGAAGAACGCCUGGUGGUUAAUACCCAUCAGGAAAGACAUCACUCACAGAAGAAGCACCGGCUAACUCCGUGCCAGCAGCCGCGGUAAUACGGAGGGUGCGAGCGUUAAUCGGAAUUACUGGGCGUAAAGCGCGCGUAGGUGGCUUGAUAAGCCGGUUGUGAAAGCCCCGGGCUCAACCUGGGAACGGCAUCCGGAACUGUCAAGCUAGAGUGCAGGAGAGGAAGGUAGAAUUCCCGGUGUAGCGGUGAAAUGCGUAGAGAUCGGGAGGAAUACCAGUGGCGAAGGCGGCCUUCUGGACUGACACUGACACUGAGGUGCGAAAGCGUGGGUAGCGAACAGGAUUAGAUACCCGAGUAGUC